rnacentral:piRNA from 1 species
CCUGACUCUACCAGUGACAGGCACCUUGC